UAUUUCUAUCUGGGGUGCUUUUAUAGCUGAGAAAUACCCAUCGAACCUGUAGGUCAAUGCCUGCGUAGGGAGAUAGCCGCUAAUAGAG
rnacentral:ncRNA from 2 species